CGGGAAACCGGAGCUAAUACCGGAUAAUAUUUCGAACCGCAUGGUUCGAUAGUGAAAGAUGGUUUUGGCUAUCACUUAUAGAUGGACCCGCGCCGUAUUAGCUAGUUGGUAAGGUAACGGCUUACCAAGGCGACGAUACGUAGCCGACCUGAGAGGGUGAUCGGCCACACUGGAACUGAGACACGGUCCAGACUCCUACGGGAGGCAGCAGAU
rnacentral:rRNA from 1 species